rnacentral:rRNA from 1 species
GACGAACGCUGGCGGCGUGCCUAAUACAUGCAAGUCGAACGCAGUGGGGACGGGUGAGUAACACGUGGGUAACCUCCCAUCAGAGGGGAUAACACUUGGAAACAGGUGCUAAACCGAUACUGAUGGAUGGACCCGCGGUGCAUUAGCUAGUUGGUGAGGUAACGGCACACCAAGGCCACGAUGCAUAGCCGACCUGAGAGGUGGAUCGGGCAUACUGGGACGGUGACACGGCCCAGACUCCUCCGGGAGGCAGCAGUAGGGAAUCUUCGGCAGUGGACGACAGUCUGCGCGAGCAACGCCGCGUGGGUGCAGAAGGUUUUCGGAUCGUAAAACUCUGUUGUUAGUGAAGCGGUAUCUAACCAGAAGGCCACGGCUAACUACGUGCCAGCAGCCGCGGUAAUAC